GUCGGUAAAACUCGUGCCAGCCGCCGCGGUUAUACGAGGGGCUCAAGUUGAUACUCCUCGGCGUAAAGGGUGGUUAGGAAACCUUAAACUAAAGCCAAACAUCUUCAAAGCUGUCAUACGCACCCGAAGAAAUGAAGACCUAUCACGAAAGUAGCUUUAAAAAUUCUGACCCCACGAAAGCUAGGACACAAACUGGGAUUAGAUACCCCACUAUG
rnacentral:rRNA from 1 species